AUGGAACCAAUCGAGGAGAAACUUGUCCAACAUCGUUUGAGAUGGUUUGCGCAUAUUCAGCUCAGGUGCAUACCAAAAAGGCUUUCGCCCCGCUUUAUAAAUAAAGCAAACCGCCACAAACCACCAAGUACCACAAUCGAGUCCACAACACACACACACACAACAAGAAGUACAAUAGGUUCUGCUGAGGGCACAUCUCAACAAGCCCAAAGAAACAAAAAGACCGGUAACACCAGAGAGCCAUGGAUAAAGCAUGCUGAUAAUGUCAAGAGAGGCCGGGGAAGGCCAAACUUGGCAUGGGAGGAGUCCAACAAGAGAUCCGAAGGACUGGGAUAUCACCAACGAACUAGCCAUGGACAGGGGUUCGUGGAAGCUAGCUAUCCAUGUGCCAGAACCAUGAGUUGUGUUGCGAGAUCUAAUGGAUUUCAGCUCUAG
rnacentral:rRNA from 1 species